GUAAACUGUCAUAAUAGCUUACAGCCUGAUCUCCUCUGAGCUCAGAAGCUAAGCGGGGUCAGCCCUGGAUACUGACUGGGAGACCAACAGGGGAAAACAGGCACCGUUUUGU
rnacentral:rRNA from 1 species